rnacentral:rRNA from 1 species
UACGUAGGGACCGAGCGUUGUCCGGAUUCAUUGGGCGUAAAGAGCGUGUAGGCGGCCAGGUAGGUCUGCUGUGAAAACUCGAGGCUCAACCUCGAGACGUCGGCGGAAACCAUCUGGCUAGAGUCCGGAAGAGGAGAGUGGAAUUCCUGGUGUAGCGGUGAAAUGCGCAGAUAUCAGGAAGAACACCCGUGGCGAAGGCGGCUCUCUGGGACGGUACUGACGCUGAGACGCGAAAGCGUGGGGAGCGAACAGG